CCUACGGGGGGCAGCAGUGGGGAAUAUUGCACAAUGGGGGAAACCCUGAUGCAGCGACGCCGCGUGAGUGAAGAAGUAAUUCGUUACGUAAAGCUCUAUCAGCAGGGAAGAAAUACUGACCUUACGGUCAGCAGACGGUACCUGAGUAAGAAGCCCCGGCUAACUACGUGCCAGCAGCCGCGGUAAUUCGUAGGGGGCAAGCGUUAUCCGGAUUUACUGGGUGGAAAGGGAGCGUAGACGGUGCGCCAAGUCUGGAGGGAAAUGCCGCAGCUUAACUGCGGAACUGCUUUGGAAACUGGCGAACUAGAGUGAGGGAGAGGUAAGCGGAAUUCCUAGUGUAGCGGUGAAAUGCGUAGAUAUUAGGAGGAACACCGGUGGCGAAGGCGGCUUACUGGACCGUAACUGACGUUGAGGCUCGAAAGCGUGGGGAGCAAACAGGAUUAGAUACCCGUGUAGUC
rnacentral:rRNA from 1 species